rnacentral:rRNA from 1 species
GAUGAACGCUAGCGACAGGCCUAACACAUGCAAGUCGAGGGGCAGCACAUGAGUAGCAAUACGAUGGUGGCGACCGGCGCACGGGUGAGUAACACGUAUGCAACCUGCCUUCUACUAUGGGAUAACCCGUUGAAAGACGGACUAAUACCGUAUAAUACAGGGGCUCCGCAUGGAGAUAUUUGUUAAAGAUUUAUUGGUAGAAGAUGGGCAUGCGUAUGAUUAGAUAGUUGGUGAGGUAACGGCUCACCAAGUCAACGAUCAUUAGGGGUUCUGAGAGGAAGGUCCCCCAACUGGUACUGAGACACGGACCAGACUCCUACGGGAGCAGCAGUGAGGAAUAUUGGUCAAUGGACGAGAGUCUGAACCAGCCAAGUCGCGUGAAGGAGACGGUUCUAUGAAUUGUAAACUUCUUUUGUGCAGGAAUAAAGUGGUUACGUGUAACCUUUUGUAUGUACUGUACGAAUAAGGAUCGGCUAACUCCGUGCCGCA